rnacentral:rRNA from 1 species
AUUGAACGCUGGCGGAAUGCUUUACACAUGCAAGUCGAACGGCAGCACGGGGCAACCUGGUGGCGAGUGGCGAACGGGUGAGUAAUACAUCGGAACGUGCCCAAUCGUGGGGGAUAACGUAGCAAAAGUUACGCUAAUACCGCAUACGAUCUACGGAUGAAAGCGGGGGAUCGCAAGACCUCGCGCGAAUGGAGCGGCCGAUGUCAGAUUAGGUAGUUGGUGGGGUAAAGGCUCACCAAGCCGACGAUCUGUAGCUGGUCUGAGAGGACGACCAGCCACACUGGGACUGAGACACGGCCCAGACUCCUACGGGAGGCAGCAGUGGGGAAUUUUGGACAAUGGGCGCAAGCCUGAUCCAGCCAUUCCGCGUGCAGGAUGAAGGCCUUCGGGUUGUAAACUGCUUUUGUACGGAGCGAAAAGGCUCUCUCUAAUACGGGUGGCUAAUGACGGUACCUGCAGAAUAAGCACCGGCUAACUACGUGCCAGCAGCCGCCGUAAUAC